rnacentral:lncRNA from 1 species
AAGUUCCUGGUGCUUUUUUGAAAAUCCCUUUGCUCUCUUGCAGCAAGUGAUAGAAAAAAGUGGGCAAGAUGUAGGGGAAGAGAAGCAGCAGGAAAAAAACAAAUAAAUUUGACCUCAACUUGAGGUCACUCCUUCCUCAAAGAGUUUCAUUAUUGAGCUAUAAAAUCCACCUGUCCACCCACCAGAGUCAUGCCCUCUUAUACCAGACAAAGGACUUACUUCAUUGUUGAUACUUCUUAGAGCAGGACCACGACUGGGCAUUGAAUACCAAGAACAUAUGGGAUCACACUCAGGACCCUGGACAGGGAGGGCUGGGCCCAACAUUCACACUCAGGGACCUCCCUUUCCCUUCUUUUCUUUCUGAGAUGUUCUGUGGCCCAUUCGGCACAUAAGCAUCAUACCCAUGUGCAACACUUCUCUCUCCUGGGCCGAGUCGUCCUUUGGCCACUCCAUUUUCUCCCCUCAACCCGAUUGGCCAGGUCACAGAAGACCUCCAAGUGAGUGCUUAGUUUCCAGCAGAUCCCCCUAGAUGGCUGUGAGGAAUCUUUUCUCUACUUUAAAUAAUUUUUUGUGAAACACAAUACUCUUCCCCCAACAACUAGGUAAUUCUGCAGCCGCUUCUCCUGUCAACUCACACCAAAGCACCAGAAAGAAGGUCCCAAUGGAUAAAAGUUUUGACAACACAGUCCCUUUGAUUCACCCAGUAAUUACUGGGAGCUUGAGGCUGAGACUUUAUUCUGUCAGACCCCUGUGGGAGAAGAACAAAGGCUCUGCAGUCUCAAGACAAGGAUUGUAACCUGCUUGUUCUCCGAGCUCAGACAUGCUACCACAGUGUACCAGCUACCCACCUCCAACCUUAGCGGUGACCCAGGAGCCACCUGGGGGUGACUGGCCAGUGCUUGGAAAGACCUUCUACUUGGCUCCUUGCUUAAUCCCUAGGCCUUUUCCUGCAAACCAAGACCCACUCAGCUAUAAGCCUGGUAACUCUAGAAGCCACAGUUCCUCUCCUGUCUUCUGAUGCUCAAUCAUUUUGAAAACAAUUGUAUAGUAUCACAGUGAACCAGAUAAACAAAACCUCAAGAAGAAUAUAAUUACAUUCUCAGGUCCUCAGGGCUCCUGUAGACAUUGCCUUUGCCUUCUUGUGCCAAGUGACCCGAGCUAACCUGGGAAUAACUGGAGGUUAUACUGCACUCAAGGUCAUAUUCUGAAUAAGCAAUCCCAGAUAGGACCUUGACAUCUGUGGAAUAAGGAUGAAAAAGUAUGGAGACAAGAAAAAGAAAGGAAAUCAAGAGACAUUUUACUUACCUUUGGAUCAUGUAUAUACAAUUUUCUAGGCUUUUUUAUGAUGUUAAAGACAAGAAGCAGCAGCAAACUUAGAAUGCUACUUUACCUCUACC